rnacentral:rRNA from 1 species
CUUGGUCAUUUAGAGGAAGUAAAAGUCGUAACAAGGUUUCCGUAGGUGAACCUGCGGAAGGAUCAUUAAAGAGUUAGGGUCUUCCAGGCCCGACCUCCCAACCCUAUGUUUACUCAAACCACCGUUGCUUCGGCGGGUCCGUCUCAGACCGCCGGGGGACUGUCAUAGGUCCUCUGGCCCGCACCCGCCGGUGGCCAAUCUUCAUAAACUCGUGAAUAAAACGUGUCCUUGUCUGAGUAUAUGAAAUAAAUUAAAGCAAAAAACUUUCAACAACGGAUCUCUUGGUUCUGGCAUCGAUGAAGAACGCAGCGAAAUGCGAUAAGUAAUGCGAAUUGCAGAAUUCCAGUGAGUCAUCGAAUCUUUGAACGCACAUUGCGCCCUUUGGCAUUCCGAAGGGCAUGCCUGUUCGAGCGUCAUUAUCACCCUUCAAGCCCUCGGGUUUGGUGUUGGACCACGGUUGUACCAGCCGGCGCGACCGGUCCCAAAGUGAAUGACGGUGUCCGCGGGACCCCUCGGUGCAAUGAGCUCUCUCGUAGCACGCACCGCAGUGGCCCGGGGGCGCGUUCCUCAACCACACUUUUUCUCAGGUUGACCUCGGAUUAGGUAGGGAUACCCGCUGAACUUAAGCAUAUCAAUAAGCGGAGGA